rnacentral:misc_RNA from 1 species
AAGUCGUAACAAGGUUUCCGUAGGUGAACCUGCGGAAGGAUCAUUAAAAAAAAUAUUUUUAAAAACUAGUGAACUUGUAGCCUUUAAGGCAAAUAUCUAUACAACUUUUAUAUAUUUUUAAAGUUAUUUUAGUAUAUACAACUUUUAGCAACGGAUCUCUAGGUUCUC